UACGUAGGGCGCAAGCGUUGUCCGGAAUUAUUGGGCGUAAAGAGCUCGUAGGCGGCCUGUCGCGUCUGCUGUGAAAUCCCGGGGCUUAACCCCGGGCGUGCAGUGGAUACGGGCUGGCUGGAGGCAGGCAGGGGAGAACGGAAUUCCCGGUGUAGCGGUGAAAUGCGCAGAUAUCAGGAGGAACACCGGUGGCGAAGGCGGCUUUCUGGGCCUUACCUGACGCUGAGGAGCGAAAGCUGGGGGAGCAAACAGG
rnacentral:rRNA from 1 species